CUUUCUUUAACGGAAGGGUACCAACAAUUUUGUCCACGUGUGUAUAUGAUUAUUUCCUUUUUUCUCCAGAGUGGUCAACCUGCGCUGAGAGUCCUCUGUAGAGAAAUACUCCACGUUAAAGUCCAACAGGGUGAACAUUCAUCCGUCCAAGACGCACAGGCCACCAUGAGGCUUUACACCAUGGUGAAAAAACAGUGGGAAGCAGAGAUUAAAGCCAGCCAUAAAAACAAAAACUCAGCCAAUAAGCGUGAAAGGAAGCUUCCUAAGAACAGGUGCAAGAAUCUCAUGGGAUUAUGAAUUCAACACCAAUCUGCAAGAGGACAGUAUCAUCCCAGGGUCAGAGCAGCGCUGACUGAAACGAUCAAAGGUUUGGCGAGAUAUCCAUAAAAAUGUGUUUUUAACAGAUGGUCGCUCGGACAGGACAUUCCAGGAUGUGAAAGACUUCAACAAAGUCAGGAGUGUUCUGCCUGAGCAUCCCAGGCUGCGGCUCCUCGCACAGGAACCAAAACAUCUGGGAGAUUAUGGAGCUUUUAUUUACAAUGAUCCUUUCAGUCAUUUCCUCCUUAAAUCUUCCAAGAAUUCAUUUCCCAACAUGGUGUUCCCAGCAGUCGGAGGCAGGUGUUCAAAUCAUCCAAUUUCAUCUCCUGAGAAUUGAGAUCUCAUGAGCACAUGAGAACUCAAUUAUCCACCCACUAGCACACAAUCCAUUUGUUUGCAUAACGGUUCCAGUAUUAUAUAAAUUGUGUGUUUAGAUUAGGGAUGCACCGAUACUGACUCAAAUAGCUGGAUUGGGUAUCGUUGACAAUGGGGCCUCUAAUAUAUUCAAUUAAAUUCUAUGUUUAUAUACUAUAUAUACAUUAUAUACUUGAAUUGUAAUUCCUGUUAAUUUUGAUUUAGAUCUUUGUUCUCUCAUGACUUGGUUUGUAGUAAUGUGUUUCCUGGUUGCCUUAAAUGUUUUAAAAAGUAUAAAUAAAACUCCUCGCCAUUGA